CCUACGGGAGGCAGCAGUGAGGAAUAUUGGUCAAUGGAGGCAACUCUGAACCAGCCAAGUAGCGUGCAGGAUGACGGCCCUAUGGGUUGUAAACUGCUUUUAUGCGGGGAUAAACUGAGUCACGUGUGGCUUAUUGCAGGUACCGCAUGAAUAAGGACCGGCUAAUUCCGUGCCAGCAGCCGCGGUAAUACGGAAGGUCCGGGCGUUAUCCGGAUUUAUUGGGUUUAAAGGGAGCGCAGGCCGCACGUUAAGCGUGUUGUGAAAUGCCGGGGCUCAACCGUGGCACUGCAGCGCGAACUGGGGGGCUUGAGUGCGCGGGAGGUAGGCGGAAUGCGUGGUGUAGCGGUGAAAUGCAUAGAUAUCGCGCAGAACUCCGAUUGCGAAGGCAGCAUGCCGGCGCCAAACUGACGCUGAGGCACGAAAGCGUGGGUAUCGAACAGGAUUAGAUACCCUAGUAGUC
rnacentral:rRNA from 1 species